AGUCGCUGUUAUGAAGUUUGAACAUAUAGCAUUUUUUCACUCUGGAAUGUGAGGGCUCAGGAUGUGUUGACACAGCGCGAUUCAGGACUUUCAGACACAGUGAAAUCCUUGCAGGAAGCAUCAGCGUGUGGAUUGCCAGAGAGUUUUAGGAAACCUGCAGCUGUCAGCCCACAGCAGCAUGAGGAAGAGUCUUCCAUCUCUCCAAUGUACAGGAAAGAGAAGACGAAUUGUUGUAAAUGUCCUCCUUCGAUACUGAGAAAAAGACCGCCCAGGAAACAAGCUGUUGGUGAAAAGCGAAAAGCAGAGAGAAGGGUUCGAUUUCAUGAGCCAGAAAUCACUGGAUAUGCAGAAGAUGGGCCAUCAGCUGGAUUGCCUUUGCUCCUGUGGAUUUCACUUUGUUUAGUGCUGAUCCUGGCUGUGAGUCUGUACUACAGCUGCAUGCUGCAGAAUUUCAAAGUCCUGGAAGAAUUUCAAUCCCAACUCGUUAUCGUCUUUCUUCAGAUCAGACACGUUGCUGUGAAAUGCUGGACUUGGUUUAUGAGGCAAUAACAGUGUUCUCUGCUGCCACCCGUGUGGGACUGUGCAUGGCCCAAGACAAAGAUCUUAGCCGAUAACAUUUACAUGGAUAUUGCAGCACAAGGUCCAAAGCCUGCUCAAACCGAACAGCGGAGAAUGUGCCAGCCAUCUCUUUGAAGACUAAUAGCACUGACCCUAUUGUACACUUAUCUUUUUCUGUCACCACUCAUUUCCCAUUUCUUUUAUUAUUAUUGUGUAUAUAACACUAACAGUUAGAGGGUGCAACCAAAAUCAGGACCUUAUUGUCCUUGGCAAUAUAAAAAUACCUGGUAAGAGAUGCUCCCUGCCUCAAAGAGCUAAUAAAUUGAAGAAACAAGAAAAAGCAAAGGAACACAAAGAUUAAUUAAUUCAAUCAAGGUCAUGUAGGUAGGUAGUAGCAGGAAUUGAACCAGGUCAAUCAAGUCUCAGAUCAGUACUUUAACCACAAGACCAUCAUUCCCCUCCAGCCGUGCUACUGUAGCGUGUGCAAGCAUUACUCCGUGUGUUCGCAGGCUAUGCCAUGCUGUACUUUAAAUAUAUGUGAAAUGAUUGUGAGUACCAACUGUGGCAACUGGCCUUCUCAUUUCCCCUCAAGCUUUCUCCUAUGUGGAUAAAAGAUAGUUCUUGGAAAUGUUUCACCACAUUCCCAGGCAUGAAAGAGAGCAUGCAAACUCAUUUAAACAGGCUCUAGUUAUUUGCCUAAUAUCACACAUAACAGAAUUGAAUCCCAGGUUAAUUAUCAAGUGAGUAGUUUAAUCCUAUACAUUUUAUUCAGUCUGUAAACCUCAUGAGCUAAGUUUAUAUAGUUUGUGACAUCAGCAAACUGCUUCAAUUUACUUAUAGCUUGUAUUCAAUCAGGGGGCCAUGUAUUCAUUCCAUGCAUGCUCUAAUACAGUUUAAGGCUUUGCACAGUGCUACAAUUGACUGUUUCUGAAGAUAAAACUCUAUUAUCUUGGGGGCUCCUCAUUCAUACCUCAUAGUAACGGUAUUUCUGAACAAAAUCAUCUUAAUGAUACUGCAAUAAAUGCCGAAUGCCUCUUCUGUGUGUCCAGGUGGAGCCCAAUGUGUCUAUCCAAGUUUGUUCCAGAGAAGGUCAACAACUUCAUCUAGCCUGUGAGCAAUAACUUUUUAGACUUUAUCUUCUCCAUAGACAAAAAUAUUAACAUCAUUUUCUGCCUGGCCUCCUUUUCAGGUAAAAUUAAAGAAAACAUUUUGACAAUGUGCCUACUGUAUUCAGAAAGGUACAGACUACCUGAGAGUGUGCAACACCAGGAAAAAAAAUUUGACCAUGGAAGACCAUGCUUGCAAAAUCACAACCUAAAGUCCCCUGUUGUGACAACCAACAAAGAACCAGGCAUAUUAUUGCUGAUCAAUAAAGAAUAUU